AACGAACGCUGGCGGCAUGCCUAACACAUGCAAGUCGAACGAGACCUUCGGGUCUAGUGGCGCACGGGUGCGUAACGCGUGGGAACCUGCCCUUAGGUUCGGAAUAACUCCCCGAAAGGGGUGCUAAUACCGGAUAAUGUCUUCGGACCAAAGAUUUAUCGCCUUUGGAUGGGCCCGCGUUGGAUUAGCUAGUUGGUAGGGUAAAAGACUACCAAGGCGACGAUCCAUAGCUGGUCUGAGAGGAUGAUCAGCCACACUGGGACUGAGACACGGCCCAGACUCCUACGGGAGGCAGCAGUGGGGAAUAUUGAACAAUGGGCGAAAGCCUGAUCCAGCAAUGCCGCGUGAGUGAUGAAGGCCUUAGGGUUGUAAAGCUCUUUUACCCGGGAUGAUAAUGACAGUACCGGGAGAAUAAGCUCCGGCUAACUCCGUG
rnacentral:rRNA from 1 species